UACGUAGGGGGGCAAGCGUUGUCCGGAAUCAUUGGGCGUAAAGAGCGCGUAGGCGGCCCUGUAAGUCCGCUGUGAAAGUCAAGGGCUCAACCCUUGGAUGCCGGUGGAUACUGCAGGGCUAGAGUCCGGAAGAGGCGAGUGGAAUUCCUGGUGUAGCGGUGAAAUGCGCAGAUAUCAGGAGGAACACCGAUGGCGAAGGCAGCUCGCUGGGACGGUACUGACGCUGAGACGCGAAAGCGUGGGGAGCGAACAGG
rnacentral:rRNA from 1 species